AUUGAAAAUAUAUGAAGUUACGAUACUUGAACGAAGUAUAACAUAAGUAAAUAAGUUCUCUUUGACAACCUUUUUGUUCACUAAUAAUUUAUUUGCCAAUUUUUUGGAUACAAAGUUUAUCUUAAAAUAUAUGGCAUUGUCGAAAGGCUUAAAUUUAGAAGUUUUUUUGUUCGGAUUCUUUUUUCUUCAGGCACAACGUUUGCAGACACAAAUGCCACCUUGAAUGUUAUGGGCUUAACAAGCUGGUGGGCAAUCCUUUGCAGUUUUCGUCAUCGCUGCAUAGCGUCCACUGUUGCUGCAAUGUUAGAUGGUAGAUGCCCCGACACCGGCAAGCAACUACAUUUUUUAGUUGUCAAGUCACAAAAACCACCAUGUUUACACUGGCCCAAACAGUCUAUGUCACGAGUGCAUGCUUCUGAGUUUGAUACAC